rnacentral:rRNA from 1 species
GACGAACGCUGGCGGCGUGCUUAACACAUGCAAGUCGUACGGUAAGGCCCUUUCGGGGGUACACGAGUGGCGCACGGGUGAGUAACACGUGAGUAACCUGCCCACAACUUUGGGAUAACGCUAGGAAACUGGUGCUAAUACUGGAUAUGUGCUCCUGCUGCAUGGUGGGGGUUGGAAAGCUCCGGCGGUUGUGGAUGGACUCGCGGCUUAUCAGCUUGUUGGUGGGGUAGUGGCCUACCAAGGCGGCGACGGGUAGCCGGCCUGAGAGGGUGACCGGCCACAUUGGGACUGAGAUACGGCCCAGACUCCUACGGGAGGCAGCAGUGGGGAAUAUUGCACAAUGGGCGCAAGCCUGAUGCAGCAACGCCGCGUGCGGGAUGACGGCCUUCGGGUUGUAAACCGCUUUCAGCAGGGACGAAGCUUUUUGGGACGGUACCUGCAGAAGAAGCACCGGCUAACUACGU